rnacentral:tRNA from 1 species
GACCGCGUUGCUUAAUGGAUAAAGCGUCUAACUUCAAGUCAGAAGAUUUCGAGUCUCGUCGUGGUUG